CCCAGACUCCUACGGGAGGCAGCAGUGGGGGAUAUUGCACAAUGGGGGAAACCCUGAUGCAGCGACGCCGCGUGGGUGAAGAAGCGCCUCGGCGCGUAAAGCCCUGUCAGCAGGGAAGAAAAUGACGGUACCUGAAGAAGAAGCCCCGGCUAACUACGUGCCAGCAGCCGCGGUAAUACGUAGGGGGCAAGCGUUAUCCGGAUUUACUGGGUGUAAAGGGAGCGUAGACGGCCAGACAAGUCUGAAGUGAAAAUCCAGCGCUUAACGUUGGAAGUGCUUUGGAAACUGCCGGGCUAGAGUGCAGGAGGGGCAGGCGGAAUUCCUAGUGUAGCGGUGAAAUGCGUAGAUAUUAGGAGGAACACCAGUGGCGAAGGCGGCUUACUGGACUGUAACUGACGUUGAGGCUCGAAAGCGUGGGGAGCAAACAGGAUUAGAUACCCGUGUAU
rnacentral:rRNA from 1 species